AUACGUAUGGGGCUAGCGUUGUUCGGAUUCACUGGGCGUAAAGGGCGUGUAGGCGGCUAUGCAAGUCGGAUGUGAAAUUUUCAGGCUUAACCUGAAAACUGCAUUCGAAACUGCGUAGCUAGAGUACCGGAGAGGGAGACGGAAUUCCUGGUGUAGGGGUGAAAUCUGUAGAUAUCAGGAAGAACACCAGUGGCGAAGGCGGCUAACUGGGGCAAUACUGACGCUGAGGCACGAAAGCGUGGGGAGCAAACAGGAUUAGAAACCCUAGUAGUCC
rnacentral:rRNA from 1 species